AGGUGAGUAGUUUAAGAAAAACAUUUGAUUUCGGCUCAAAAACUCGUGGUUAAAGUCCAUAUUCAUCUA
rnacentral:tRNA from 1 species